UGGGCAACCUACCCUUGACUCUGGGAUAACUCCGGGGAAACCGGAGCUAAUACCGGAUAUGAACACGAAGGACAUCCUUUGUGUUGGAAAGUUUUUCGGUCAGGGAUGGGCCCGCGGCCUAUCAGCUUGUUGGUGGGGUAAUGGCCCACCAAGGCGACGACGGGUAGCCGGCCUGAGAGGGCGACCGGCCACACUGGGACUGAGACACGGCCCAGACUCCUACGGGAGGCA
rnacentral:rRNA from 1 species